rnacentral:misc_RNA from 1 species
AAAACCCUAAGAGAAGGGAUCUUGAAAAAACCCAGUAUUUGUUCACUGCAUAUUUGAUUGAUAUGAAUGAUUCUGAUGAUGAAACUCCAUACUCUUCAAGACCCAACGCUGCCAUUUACAAUACGUCUUCUCUUCGAUCAAGACGCUCAAUUCGAAACCCUACCUCUUAUCUUAGAAAUACCCAUUAUGAGUAUAAUAACGAAUUUCAAUAUAACCAUCAUGGUGGUGCUGCUGCUGCCCAUGAUGAUGAUGAAUCUGAUGAUGAAGAAGAAAAUCAAGAAUUUAGCAGUGGAGAAAAUGAUGUUGAUAAUUUUCAAGGUAAGAAGAAGAGAAAGUUGGAAACUUUAGUUUCAAAUUACAAUUUUGCCCCUCGUUCAGGUUCAAAGGAUAUUUGGAGUGAAGAGGAGAGUUUUGUG